UGCGUAGGCUGUUCUGCAAGUCAGGUGUGAAAUCCCCGCGCUUAACGUGGGCAUUGCAUUUGAAACUAUGUAGCUAGAGUUCUGUAGAGGGGGGUAGAAUUCCAGGUGUAGCGGUGAAAUGCGUAGAGAUCUGGAGGAAUACCGAUUGCGAAGGCAGCCCCCUGGACAGUGACUGACGCUCAUAUGCGAAAGCGUGGGGAUCAAACAGGAUUAGAUACCCGUGUA
rnacentral:rRNA from 1 species